CCUACGUGAGGCAGCAGUAGGGAAUAUUGCUCAAUGGGGGAAACCCUGAAGCAGCAACGCCGCGUGGCGGAUGAAGGUUUUCGGAUUUUAAACUCCUUUUGUUCGGGACGAUACUGACGGUAUCUAACGAAUAAGCAACGGCUAACUCCGUUCCAGCAGCCGGGGUAAUACGGAGGGUGCAAGCGUUACUCGGACUCACUGGGCGUAAAGAUCGCAUAGGCGGGUUAGUAAGUCAGAUGUGAAAUCCUCUGGCUUAACCAUAGGACUGCAUUUGAAACUGUUAUUCUAGAGUAUGGGAGAGGUAGGUGGAAUUCUUGGUGUAGCGGUGAAAUCCGUAGAGAGCAAGAGGAAUACUCAUUGCGAAGGCGACCUGCUAGAACAUAACUGACGCUGAGGCGCGAAAGCGUGGGGAGCAAACAGGAUUAGAUACCCGAGUAGUC
rnacentral:rRNA from 1 species